rnacentral:misc_RNA from 1 species
GACACAAUGAAGAAAUGCACUCUAAAAUGCACAGUGAUUA